rnacentral:rRNA from 1 species
GACGAACGCUGGCGGCGUGCUUAACACAUGCAAGUCGAGCGGUAAGGCCCCUUCGGGGGUACACGAGCGGCGAACGGGUGAGUAACACGUGAGCAAUCUGCCCUUCACACGGGGAUAACCACCGGAAACGGUGGCUAAUACCCGAUACGACCACUUCGGGCAUCUGAUGGUGGUGGAAAGUUCCGGCGGUGGAGGAUGAGCUCGCGGCCUAUCAGCUUGUUGGUGGGGUAAUGGCCUACCAAGGCAACGACGGGUAGCCGGCCUGAGAGGGUGACCGGCCACACUGGGACUGAGACACGGCCCAGACUCCAACGGGAGGCAGCAGUAGGGAAUCUUGCGCAAUGGGCGAAAGCCUGACGCAGCAACGCCGCGUGCGGGAUGACGGCCUUCGUGGUUGUAAACCGCUUUCAGCAGGGACGAAAUUGACGGUACCUGCAGAAGAAGCCCCGGCUAACUACGUGCCAGCCGCCGCCGUAAGAC